rfam:Ictidomys tridecemlineatus contig051731, whole genome shotgun sequence.
GGUGUUGUGGCUCAGAGGGAGAGCACUCGCCUGGCACGUGCAAGACCCUGGGUUCAAUCCUCAGCACCACAU